UUACGCCUGGCGGCAGAGGAAUUUUAAUUUUUAUCUGCAAUCAAAUAGAAAUUAUGGAAAAAAAAAUUAAAAAUAUCGGUGAAGUGAAGAAGGAAAAUGUGCAGACCAGACUGCAGGGUCCGCAGUGCGUAUGAGCAACAUACGCGCAGUGUUGAUGCAAAAAAAAUCUAAAAAGUUAUUAACUAUCAAGGACUCUUAAAGUCAUUUGCCAUUUGAGCAUCAUUAACAGAAUUCUAUACACACACACACACACACAAACCCGCACCCAACUACACUUUAUACUUCUAUUAACACUUCAGUCAAUUGGCCCACUUGUCAGCGAUUGCCAGUAGAGGCCAUACACGCGCACACACAUACACAAACACAUUUUUUGUUAUGCGCCUAUUGUUUGGUGGAAUUGCGAAAAAAUGUGAGUUACCAACAACGGUUAAAGCUAACCCACACUUGCUUAAAAAAAGACUGGAAAACUAGCGUUAGAGCACAUAAACACGAGGAAACACGCGCACAUACAUAAGGAUUAAAAUGUAUGUAUGAUUACAUGUUUUUGUAUGCGCUUAUGUAUACUUGAUUCGCUAUGCAUACAAACACGUGCGGUACUUAAAUCGAUAUUUGCAACAAGUACCAUUCAACAUAAAUGGUGUUGCCGCUACCGUAGUCGACAUCGAUGCCGCUGCUGCUAUCGGCAUUGCGACGACCUCAUGAAUUUUUCUUUGGUUGCGUGUUUACGUCCUUUGUGGAAAAUGUCAUGGUUAGUUUUGCACUGAUUUUCCUUGCAAGGAUAUAUCUCGAAGUAUUUUAAGCUGUGUUAAUCUAAGUAAUUCCAUGAAUAUUCCUGUUAGCGGUAAUUAGAAAGCUAAUCAAGAUUCGCAUAAUAAGAGAAUUUUAAAAUGUAACUAAUGGACUGGACUGAACUGAAGUUCAAAGCAACGGUGUGUUAUGCAAAUAUUAGAAGGCGAUUGCAUUAAUGAGUGAAAUUUCAACGCAAACUUUUUGGAAACUUUCUUUAUUAUACGGAAAAAAGUUAAGUAAAGCACUCUUUGCCAUGAGUUAAAGCGAUUGCGAAAGCGAUUUCAUCUAUGAAUAAGACGGACAUGGUGAGAACCUUGUAAACCACCUUAGGUGAUAGAAAAUGCAUUUGGAGUCUCAAGUCUCAAGUUCUCACCAUGCCCGUCUUAUUCAUAGACCAUCUCGAGCAAAAAUGAGGAGACAUUAGAGAUAUUCGGGCAUAGUAAAACACAUAAAAAUAAUUAAGCUAAGAUAGCCAGCUGUGCUUGUUGGCACUGCUAAACAGAUUAAACUAGAUGCACCCAAGCCACUCGGUCAAGGACUUUAAUUUCAUCAGCAAAAAAAUUGUGAAAAAAAUUCCGAUCACUUAAGCCACGAAGUUUUAUAUGCAAACUUGGGACUGUGUUUAAUAAUCCAGAGUAAAACAGCCUUUCAGGAAAAAAGCUGUUAAAAGGGUAUAACGAAAUUUCACUAAUUCUAUUAUUUUUAAGUCAA